UGUGGGUUGUGGGCUGUGUGG
rnacentral:miRNA from 1 species